rnacentral:lncRNA from 1 species
UUCAAAGAGGUUUGGAACUUUUGUUGUCUCCGUUUCUCUAGGGAAUAGCAUUUUUAUUGUGGUUAGUCUAAUGAUUUAGGGAGUAUGUGAAGUUUUUCUAAAUUAAUGGAUAAAAAAUUAGAAUGAUGUCCAUGUACCAUGAAAAGAAGUUUAUCAUACAUUAAUACAAAUGUAUAAUGUGGUUUUAAAUUUUAAAACAAAUUUAAAGAUUAUAGGCUUCAUAUAUAGAUCAUUUAC